rnacentral:rRNA from 1 species
AGAACGAACGCUGGCGGCAGGCUUAACACAUGCAAGUCGAACGGUUGUAGCAAUACAGCAGUGGCGCACGGGUGAGUAACGCGUGGGAACAUACCUUUCAGUUCGGAAUAACAGCGGGAAACUGCUGCUAAUACCGGAUAUUCUCUCCGGAGGAAAGAUUUAUCGCUGAAAGAUUGGCCCGCGUCAGAUUAGCUAGUUGGUGGGGUAAUGGCCUACCAAGGCUCCGAUCUGUAGCUGGUCUGAGAGGACGACCAGCCACACUGGAACUGAGACACGGUCCAGACUCCUACGGGAGGCAGCAGUGGGGAAUAUUGGACAAUGGGCGAAAGCCUGAUCCAGCCAUGCCGCGUGAAUGAUGAAGGCCUUAGGGUUGUAAAGUUCUUUGUCAGGGAAGAUAAUGACGGUACCUGAAGAAUAAGCACCGGCUAACUUCGUGCCAGCAGCCGAC